GGCUGGAGACAUCAGCCUCCGAAAAGGAUUCACUCACAGGCUUAGCAAGUUGAUGCUGGCUAUUCAACUCAGAUCAUCAGCUGGUGACUUCCAUUCUCCGUUGAGUGCGCUUCUCCCAGAAGCUUCUUGGAUUUCCUCACAGCAAGACACAUCUGAAAGAAAUCUAGUGGACCUCGGUUUUGCUGUCCUCUCCAAGCAAGCGGAAGCCAAGAGAGACUUUCUCGACUGUGGGUCUCCACAGAGCCACGUUGCCAGGGACCAUAUUUACAGUGUGGUACGCAUUGCAGCAGGACACCCAAGUCCUCACCUCCUUAUGUGGAGCCUUACUUGGUUACAAGCAACAGAAAACUAAAUCUCCUGGGGCGCCUGGGUGGCACAGCGGUUAAGCGUCUGCCUUCGGCUCAGGGCGUG